GUCGUGGUGGCUGAGUGGUAAAGCGCUUGGCUUCCUAAUCGAAGAGUCUCGGGUUCGAAUCCCGAUGAAGACU
rnacentral:tRNA from 1 species